UGCAUUGCCGAAUAAAUUUGUCUCCACUAUGCUUUCCACGGUGUGUGCUUCCUAGCCGACAAGGAGGCAAUCGAUGAUGUGAAACAAGAUAUUCUUUGCGGCGCCGCUACCAUCUUUUCAUCAAUCUUGAUCCCCGUUCUAGUUGAUGAAAGGGAGAUAUUGCUUCAGAUUGAUGAGCUCUGUUGAUUUGAGAUGGUUGUUGGUUCAACUAUGAAAAAAUUGAUGUUUGCUGGUGGUGAAUUGAAUGCAUUCGAUUCACUGUAGCUAAACAAUGGAAGAAAGUUGGAUGGCGCCGUCUAAGUGGAGUUUGAUGCUUGUUGUUGGGUUGUCAACGAAGGAGGAAAUAAUUGGAGGAGUUCCAGAGUCUCCUCUGUGAAAGGAUCGUUGUCGCAGCUGCAUGGAUGAUUGGGUGUUGUAUUCCAACUGGUCUACUUCUGACUCAUGACUACCUUUUGUUUGAUGAAAUGUCUGAGUAGAGUUUGGGCUUGAGAAUUCUGCUCUGAGCCAUGGUUCGUAGUUGAGUUUUGUGGGAGGGGUUUUUUGAUAGUUGCAGAAGAUUUGGGAUUGACCCAAUCUUCCACAUGCGUAGCAAAAGUCAAAUAAUCUUUCAUAUUUUAAGGAGACCCAGGUUUUGUGAUUCCCAAAUCGUGGCAGCCUGAAUCCUUGUUGAAGGGGUUUUGUGACAUCGAUCUCAACCUUAAUUCUAAUGGAUUUUCUGUAGGCCAUACCGUAAAUAGGAUCCUCCUCAACUUUAAUCAAAUUGUCCAUGGAUUUGGAUUUCUUAAAGUCAGGUGGUCUAAAGGUAGUCAAUGGAUUUGGACAUUGAACAUUGAGAGCCUAAGACUAAUCUCUUUAAGUGUAGCUCUAGGGGACCAAGGCUUGAGGAUUAGGAGAUGACCUUUAAAGUUCCAAGGUGCUUGGUUAAGCACUCUUAGUUUGUCAUGGGGAGACCGAAAGGUGAAAAGGAACUUGUUGGUUUUCAAAUCUUCAAUAAGGAAUCCCUGGAUGAAGUUUCACAUUGCCUUGAUACUUGAGUGGAUUGCAAAUUUGUUGAGAGGUCUAUCUGCAACCAAUCUGCCUACCAAUACAGAAUCUGAUAUGGCUUUUGCUAUUUCUAGUGCAUGUUCAAGAUUUAAGUCUUGCCGUGAGAGAGCCUCUAUCUGUGAGAUGAGGGAAUCCAAAUCCAUUACUUUGUUUCUAGUGAUGAAUUGUAUGCUAUGAAGGGUUGACUGAAUUCUAGAUU